rnacentral:ncRNA from 1 species
AGAUAGAGGCGCGGUGUACAUCAGUAGCACCAGCAGACGGGCAGACCACCCGCUGUGUGUGAAAGGGGAAACCGCCGAAGGCAGACGCUCCAUGGCUGUGGAGGUUUGACCUGGGCCGUCGAAGAAGAUUCGCCGGACUGUCACGAACCCGUUUUCGUGGAGCACUAUCG